rnacentral:lncRNA from 1 species
GUAACUGGGUGAAGCAGAGGGAGGGGUUGUGGGGGUCGAGGGGGCACCCACUUUAAACUAAAACAGUUCAAGUGUUAGAUCCAACCUUGCUGGGUCUGUCAGUUUCAUGCAAUUCGUUCCUGAGGAGAAAGUCAUUUGCUCCAGCCUUUUUCCACAUGGACUUUGGGCCACUUCACCGCCAUGUUAGUUGCCUCCAAAGGUGGACCUCCACCGCACACUAUCUUGUAUUCAAGAUUUUGGCGUUAGGGUUGUUGGAAUUAUGAUUUAUAUGCCUCUUUUGAGCAGGAAUUAGUGCUGAUAACUAUGGA